UGCCAAAUUCCAGCUGCGCUAAUUGUAUUGUGUUCACAGAGCUCACAAGCUAUCAGAAAGUUGUAUGGCAACCACCUCCGGCGCCAAAUAGAACUGGCAGACAUAGACAUUCAGUACAAGAAGAAAAAGAUGGAAAAUCUUGCACUGGAGUCCGAAAUAAAAAAGAGGACAAUUAGGAAACUGGACCUUGAAAUAAAAAAACUUGAGAGGGAGCUCCAAGAAGAUGACACAGCUCAAAAUAAAAAUUAGGUAUAUUCUCGUAAAGUCAAGUGAGCCAUGACAUAUGAGCUCUUAUUGUGAGCACACAGGACGGUGGCAUCUUUCUAAGGUUUUUUUUAUUUUCCCAGCAAUCAGUACAACCAAGUCAUCGUUAUAAGGCAUCGCCCUCUUUUGCCCACCCCCCCAGCACCAGGUGUGGCCACUAGCCUAUAUGAAGGCCCAAAAUUGUGUGUUCCUUUCUGCUCUGACAAUGGCAUGCCCAUUCGUGCGAGAUGUGGUGGAUGAAGAAGCACUUGUGCUGAGGAGAGCCUUCAGGCGAGAAAGGGUCUUCAGGGACCGGUUGGACCCACUGGCCUUCCCUGAUGACCAUCUAUAUGAAAGAUACAGGUUUUCUGCAGAUGGCAUCAGGUAUCUAUGCAGACUACUGGGUCCCAGGAUUAAGCACCGCACUGCACGGAGCCAUGCACUGAGUGUGGAGCAAAUGGUUUGUGUGGCCUUGCGCUUUUUUGCUAGUGGAGCCUUCCUGUACUCAGUGGGGGAUGCAGAACAGCUGAACAAGGCCACAAUUUGCCGCACAAUAAGGAGUGUGUGUCUGGCUAUCAAAGCAUUAGCAGAUGUCUUCAUCUCCUUCCCUGGCCACAGAAGACUCUGUGACAUCAAAGAGGAGUUCUAUAGGAUUGCAGAUGGUCUGCAAUGCUGACUGUGUGAUCAGCAAUGUUGUGGCAAAAUGGCCUGGCUCAGUCCAUGACUCCAGAAUCUUUCG